UGAAAAUGUUUACCGUGCCGUAUGCGCCCGCUGGAAUCCCAGAUACGGCGCAAAGGCUGUGAUGGACAUUUUGUCUAAGUGUUUAACGGAGGCCAACAAGCACCACAGUCGAUCUAUUGGUUUGCCUUCGGUCGGCGCUGGUGGACUUGGCUACCCAACGGACAUCCUCAUCCAAGCUUUUAAGUCAUCCCUUUGCCACUUCAGUCAGAAUACCCAAAAUUUAAAAUUAAAGGAGAUAUAUUUGAUGGUAUAUGACAAGGAACUGUUUGAAUUAUUCAAAGAAGCCUUCAUAGAUGAUUGUUCAGUGAGCUCUGUGACUCCAGCAACAAAGUCUAAGGGUAGGUUGGUUUUCCUGUUUGUUUCACUUGUUUCCAAGAAAAACCCAUCGCUACCAGCUAAGGAAAAAAGUCAAGACUUAAGCUUCAGAAUGGUGAAUC